UUGUUUAUAUCGUUAUCGGCCCGUAAGGUUGUCAUGUGGUAGUUACCAAUCUUCAACCCGAAUCCCUUCGCAGUUCUAUUAGUACUAAAUACUCUGAUUUUUUUCGACUACAAGGACAAAUAGCGACCUGCCUCUGCCCUAUAAUUCAAAGAACUUUAUUAACAUGUCUCAGCUUAUCGAAGGUGUCGCCAAUGAAGUGAUUUUAUUGUUUUCGACGAUAAUAGCUUUAUUUUUCGCUUUUCUAUACUCUCUCUUGUUAUACUUCAGGCCCCUUUUGGCGGAAGAAGAUCUAGAUGAACUGGAAAAUGAUCAGACUCCACCUCCAAUACACAAUCGGCACAUGUGUCCGGUCUGCCGUGGUCAGCACAGUUUCGCCCUAGAAACAGAUUGUGGUCAUUUAUACUGCGGGCCUUGUUUAAUGGCAUGUUAUGAAAGAGAUAUAAACGCACCAUUUAGCGGAAUUAAAUGCCCAUUGUGCAGAAAUCAGGUGAGCCUACUUUUUGUAUGUUUCACCCCUGAAGAAAGGAGUUAUACAUCCUGGUCCGUUAACGGCAGUGAAAGUCUUCAAAUACGCAGUUUUGUAAGGAGCUACAAUAAUUAUCACUCGACAAGAUCUAGAACGUUUUUGCACCGGAUUCGAGAAAUGCCAGUUCUUCUCAGACAUUUCAUUAUGGAGCUUUUUGAAACAGGAUUUGACAAUUUCUAUUUGAGUUUACGCUUAUUAAUUACCAUAUUAAUCGGAGCUGUUUAUAUAUUAUUUCCUUCUGAUGUUAUUCCAGAAAGUAUGUUUGGUUUCGUUGGUUUCAUCGAUGAUUUAGUUUUGUCUCUUAUAUUUGCAUGGUAUCUCGCUUCGAUGUACCGCCAUUAUUUAACAGAUCUACAUGAAAAUGAAGAUUAAACAAAUAUUGAUGUGAAUCAUCGAAUCUUAAUAGUUUACAUUUCACAAUUUAUUUCCUUAUUGAUGUUAUACUGCUUUCUU
rnacentral:misc_RNA from 1 species